rnacentral:rRNA from 1 species
GACAGAGGCCCCAAGCGUUAGGCGGAAUCACUGGGCUUAAAGCGUGUGUAGGCGGAUGGGUAAGUACCUUGUGAAAUCCCACGGCUCAACCGUGGAACUGCUCGGUAUACUGCUCGUCUUGAGCCAACUAGGGGCGACCGGAACAAACGGUGGAGCGGUGAAAUGCGUAGAUAUCGUUUGGAACGCCGAUGGUGAAAACAGGUCGCUGGGGUUGUGCUGACGCUGAGACACGAAAGCCAGGGGAGCGAACGGG